AGGACGAACGCUGGCGGCGUGCCUAACACAUGCAAGUCGAGCGGGGUUGAAGCGAGGGGUAACUCGAGUUUCACCUAGCGGCGGACGGGUGAGUAACGCGUGGGCAACCUGCCUCAAGGACUGGGAUAACAGCUCGAAAGGGCUGCUAAUACCGGAUAAGCCUAUGGCCUCGCAUGGGGCCAUGAGCAAAGGGGAAACCCGCCUUGAGAUCGGGCCCGCGUCCCAUCAGCUAGUUGGUGAGGUGAAGGCUCACCAAGGCGACGACGGGUAGCCGGCCUGAGAGGGUGACCGGCCACACUGGGACUGAGACACGGCCCAGACUCCUACGGGGGGCAGCAGUGGGGAAUCUUGCACAAUGGGCGAAAGCCUGAUGCAGCGACGCCGCGUGAGCGAAGAAGGCCUUCGGGUUGUAAAGCUCUGUCUGGAGGGACGAAGGAAGUGACGGUACCUCCGGAGGAAGCCACGGCUAACUACGUG
rnacentral:rRNA from 1 species